rnacentral:sRNA from 1 species
GACGAUGUUGGCCCUGAAGAACAAUGACAUGCGCAAAAUUCCAGGCUAUGACCCCGAGCCCGUGGAGAAGCUGAGGAAACUGCAGAGAGCUUUGGUCCGCAACGCCAGCUCAGGUUCUGAGACUCAGCUUCGCGUCUCCUGGGACAGCGUCUUGAAUGCGGAGCAGACAGGUCGCUGGUGGAUUGUGGGGUCCGCCUGGAGUGGGGCCCCGAUGAUCGACAACAGUCACCACACGCACCUGCAGAAGCAGCUUGCGGGGACGGUCAGUUCAAAGAUCCUAGAACUCGCCCGGAAGCAGAGGAUGAACACGGACAUCCGGAGAAACAUAUUCUGCACGAUAAUGACAAGUGAAGAUUUUUUGGAUGCUUUUGAAAAGCUUCUGAAGUAAGCAUUUGUGUGCACAUUUUGACCUAUUAAUGAGAUGCUGUAAAAUAAGUAAGUUGAUUUGCUUUUUGAGUUUUGGACGACUGAGUCUGAUGCUGCUUAGGGAGGACUGGGCUGUUCUCAUGACCAUCCGCUCACGCUGUUGGAUUCGUGCAUCUCUGGGUUAGUCAUCUUGUUCCUAUUAAUUUGCCUCUAGUAGUUCCUCAUUA